GGCAAGGGAGCCCGGCCAGCCAGUCCACCAGCCCUUGUUGUUGGGAAUGGACAGACAAGUGGGAGGCCGGUCAGGCAGGCUGCCACUGUUGCCUCUCAAGGUAAGGUGCUGGCCUUACAUUCACCUUUAGCCAGUCUCCGUUGGGCCACUAAGGCUGGGGACAUCCUCUUCCCUGGCCCUUGAAAAAGGGUGAGAGGAUGUUGGCUCUGCAGGCAAGGGUUGACAUAACUGGGCUCCUGAGCUCCACAGGGAUGCUACAGAAAUAAUGUAGUUGGUCAAGGGAGCCAUGGACUCAAAAAGCUGGAAGGGUGAGCAUGUAUGCACUCAAAGAAGGAAACCUGGAAGAACUGCCUUGAACUAUCUGGUCCUGGGUUGUGUCUCUCAGCUAGGGGUGGAAGGAUCAGUCAUUUCCCCCUCUCUCAGUUUCUAAUUUUUCCAGUCUCAGAUUCACUUCUUCCCAUUUCUGCAGCCAUUUGCAAACAAUCGUCAUCAUCACCUUCAUAAACAUUCAUCAGCAUUUUAGUGUGAAUUUCUCGUAAUGCAUACAUAGUUUACAUACAUACAUACAUACAUACAUAAAUUACAUACAUAAUUUUAUCUGUAGGUCACCUUUCCGUAGCUAAAGCCGUACUCAAGGUGGCUUACAACAUGAAAAAGUUACAAUUUCAAGCAAAGCAAAAGUAGUCAUAAACAAUAAGUAAAUCAUCCAAAGGUACACAACCAAAUUAAACAAUUUCCACACAAAUAAUAAGAUCUAAAAUAAAUAUACCACACACAAAAAUGCUCCCCUGCCCAUACAGCAAAAAAAAAACCCUAAACAAUACCCCAACCCAAGAGUCUGUUCAGUUCCCCUCAGCUUCUGUAGCUGGAGUCAGUCAGGGCCCCAACCUGCCAGGCCAGGUAGAAAGGGGCCUACAAAGCUGGGAACAGGUCUUCCAGGACUCAUAGGGCCGUGACCUUACAGAUUACUCCCAUUUUUUCACCCAAAGAGUACUGUUGGAUUGUAUGUGUGUGGUUUAUAUUGUAAUGGCCAUUGACUAACGCCAAAAACAGACUGACUCUACUCCUGUCUUUUUAUCCUCUGAGGAAUGGAAAGCAUUCCCUGGGAAAGUCGGUAAGAACCCGUAAGAGUCCUACAACCCCCAUCAUAAACAGUUUCAUAAUCUUGCUUUUUACUGGCAAGCACCUAAACUUACAUAGAUUAUUUGAAUGUUUAAAGACCAUUUUUGUAAUGCGGGAGAAGGGGGAAUUCAAAACCACAGGGUGAUGCAUGCGCAUAUAAGGGAAAUGUGUUCGCUUCAGUUAUGUUUAUGCCACUUCUGCAAAGCAGAUGUUACCAGGCUUUCUGUGUGAGAUUCUUCUGCAGUGUUCUGUUAAAGAGUUUUAUGAAGCCCACCUGCUGUGUACUUCAUGCACAGAGGCACCUUUUUAUGGUGCUUUUAAAAUGUUGAUGGCUUUCUUGGUGGCUGUGAUGCUUACAAAGAACCUGUGAAACAAUUUAGGAACGAAAGAGGAAGAAAUCCAUACCUGAAGAUACUGCAACGAGAAACAACUCUGCUUUAGACAAAAAUGUGUUUGCCCUUGUUAACUGUCUCACAUUGCUUACAACCAGUAUCUCCACAUCUUUAUCGGAAGCAGCAGGAUGAAUUGUAUCGGUCCUGACACUGAAUAAAAUUAGUCUUAAACGUGCUGCUUACUUAACUGUUUAGGGUUUGGGGGGGCUCAGCGUUAAAGGAAUCCAUGAAAUCCCUCAUGUUUCAUGAACUUGGGUGUGGUUGCCACAGGGGAAAAAUGCUACUGUACAGUUGGGGUUCCAAAUGGCAGCUAGAUAACUUUGAAAAACACCCCCAGGCAUGGAACUGUUAAGGUAAAUGGUUUAAUUUCCUG